UACGUAGGGGCAAGCGUUGUCCGGAAUCAUUGGGCGUAAAGCGCGUGUAGGCGGCUCGGUAAGUCUGCUGUGAAAGUCCAGGGCUCAACCCUGGGAUGCCGGUGGAUACUGUCGAGCUCGAGUCCGGAAGAGGCGAGUGGAAUUCCUGGUGUAGCGGUGAAAUGCGCAGAUAUCAGGAGGAACACCGGUGGCGAAGGCGGGUCUCUGGGCCGAUGACUGACGCUGAGGAGCGAAAGCGUGGGGAGCGA
rnacentral:rRNA from 1 species